UUAAUCGGAUCAGGGUUAGUCGGGGCCUAAGGUGCACCCGAGAGGGGAAACCGAUGGGAAAGGAGUUAAUAUUCUUGUACCAGCUUAUGCUGCGAUGGGGUGACGGAGUAGUGAAAGUCCUGCGUACGGACGGAAGUGUACUUAAAGGGUGUAGUUUAUGAGAGGGCCAGGCAAAUCCAGUCCUUGAGAUGAAACCCGAUAGUACCGCGAUCUUUUAAGAGAGCGGAUAAUGGACCUAAUCAUACUUCCAAGAAAAACCUCUAAGCUUCAGGCAUAAGCUGCCCGUACCGCAAACCGACACAGGUAGUCGAGGAGAGUAUCCUCAGGCGCUCGAGUGAUUCACGGCUAAGGAACUCGGCAAAAUAGACCCGUAACUUCGGGAGAAGGGUCGCCCCGCGCAAGCGGGGCCGCAGUAAAAAGGCUCAGGCGACUGUUUAGCAAAAACACAGGGCUCUGCAAAAUCGAAAGAUGAAGUAUAGGGCCUGACACCUGCCCGGUGCUGGAAGGUUAAGGAAGCUUGUUAGUGGGAAACUGCGAAGCUUGUAACUGAAGCCCCAGUAAACGGCGGCCGUAACUAUAACGGUCCUAAGGUAGCGAAAUUCCUUGUCGGGUAAGUUCCGACCUGCACGAAUGGUGUAACGAUCUGAGCACUGUCUCGGCCGUGAGCUCGGUGAAAUUGUAGCCCCGGUGAAGAUGCCGGGUACCCGCAACGGGACGGAAUGACCCCGUGAACCUUCACUAUAGCUUUGCAUUGGUUUUGAGUAAAUAAUGUGUAGGAUAGGUGGGAGGCUGCGAAGCAGGCACGCUAGUGUUUGUGGAGCCGUCCUUGAAAUACCACCCUUUAUUUACUUAGAGUCUAACUCUUUGAAAGAGGACAGUGCAUGGUGGGUAGUUUGACUGGGGUGGUCGCCUCCAAAAGAGUAACGGAGGCUUUCAAAGGUACCCUCAGCACGCUUGGUAACCGUGCGUAGAGCGCAAUAGUAUAAGGGUGCUUGACUGUAAGACCGACGGGUCAAGCAGGUAGGAAACUAGGAUAUAGUGAUCCGGUGGUUCCGUAUGGAAGGGCCAUCGCUCAUAGGAUAAAAGGUACUCCGGGGAUAACAGGCUGAUCCUACCCAAGAGCUCAUAUCGACGGUAGGAUUUGGCACCUCGAUGUCGGCUCGUCACAUCCUGGGGCUGGAGAAGGUCCCAAGGGUUGGGCUGUUCGCCCAUUAAAGUGGCACGCGAGCUGGGUUCAGAACGUCGCAAGACAGUUCGGUCCCUAUCUGUUGUGGGCGUUUGAGAUUUGAGGAGAUCUGACUCUAGUACGAGAGGACCGGGUCGGACUGACCACUAGUGUACCUGUUAUGGCGCCAGCUGUAUCGCAGGGUAGCUAUGUCGGGAAUGGAUAAGCGCUGAAAGCAUCUAAGCACGAAACCAACUCCAAGAUUAGAUCUCGUGGGGCUGUGGAAGAUUACCACGUUGAUAGGCUACAGGU
rnacentral:rRNA from 1 species